rnacentral:lncRNA from 1 species
AUUUAGUUUACUAUCAAUCAAAUUACCUAUCUCUACACAAGCACGAACAUGAAAUACAUAGAUUCCAUGGACGGAAAACAAAACAGCACAAAUCCAUAUAUACCUUCCACUGGUUAAGAUCCUUCACCAGCAGCAAACUCAAAAUGUGGGACUGACAUCUCUUCCUCUUCCAGCUGCAAUAUUAAUGUAAAUAAAAUACAAAAAUAAUAAUAACAAUCUAAUAAACGAAUUCGAAAGGUUCAAGAAAAUAAUGACAAAUCCCUAAUGAAUCUUUUGUCACCCAGUAUAUGGUAUAUAAAUAACCGUAAGUAAAUAUGCGAGUCGUAUAGGGUGCAUAUCCUUUUUACAUGAAACAAUCAUUUAUUACCAUCUAUCAUCUUAGAUUCAAGCUAAGCACAUGAAAAAAAUCAUUGAAACUCAAGAAUGAUUCAAUCAAGUCCUUAACAAAAAUAGUGUGUUUAUCGAUGAUCCAAAACUGAAAACCAAAACUGGUACAAAAGCAAUAAAAAAAGCAAAAUACAGAAAACCAAAUGUAAUAAAAUGCAAAAUCAAAAUUGGGGAAAUCGAAUACUGACCAUCCUUCGAAUUAGGGUUUCAAGUUUGCUAUUCACAGAACAAACGACAAUUGCAACAUUAUUGAAACAAUAGCAGAUCUGUAAGUCAAGAAAAGCAAAGAAUUAUAAAAUGGAAACCUUAAACAUACCUCAAAGAAUCGAAGCGGCUUCAAUGGAGAGGAGAAAAC